rnacentral:rRNA from 1 species
CCUACGGGGUGCAGCAGUCGAGAAUCAUUCACAAUGGGGGAAACCCUGAUGGUGCGACGCCGCGUGGGGGAAUGAAGGUCUUCGGAUUGUAAACCCCUGUCAUGUGGGAGCAAAUUAAAAAGAUAGUACCACAAGAGGAAGAGACGGCUAACUCUGUGCCAGCAGCCGCGGUAAUACAGAGGUCUCAAGCGUUGCUCGGAAUCACUGGGCGUAAAGCGUGCGUAGGCUGUUUAGUAAGUAGUGUGUGAAAGGCGCGGGCUCAACCCGCGGACGGCACAUGAUACUGGGAGACUAGAGGAAUGGAGGGGGAACCGGAAUUCUCGGUGUAGCAGUGAAAUGCGUAGAUAUCGGGAGGAACACUCGUGGCGAAGGCGGGUUCCUGGACAUUAACUGACGCUGAGGCACGAAGGCCAGGGGAGCGAAAGGGAUUAGAUACCCCAGUAGUC